UUUUUCUCCUAUAUUGGAAUUUGCCAGCGCUUAGAUGCUAUGAGGAACAACAGCAAUCUAAUUUUGGAGAAUGUUUGUUGUACACCUCUGCCUGGUUAUCCCAUGACAGAUAUGUGGCCAGAGAUUUUAUUCUGAAUGCAGGAGUCAGUGUUCAGAUUUGGCCACCUCAUAUUUCAGGCAAAAUAAUCCCCGCAGAAUGAAGUACAUGGAGCAGUAAUUGAUCUUUCUAUGAAUUCUGCCUUGCAAUGCUUCACAGUUUUUUAAUCCCUAGAGCUACUGUCUGUUCUGCAGGUGAAAGUAAGUCCUGUUCAGGUAGAAGAUGAAUGAGUAGAUAUACAUCUGCAAGUGUGAGGGUUGUUAUAUGAAUGCACUGUUGGUAUUUAUUUUAGCUAACUUUAAAAGUAUAUAAAAACUUAUAUAUAUAUAUAUAAUGUUGUUAAUUUUAAUGAAGCAGGUGAUUAGAAAGAUAGAAAGAUUAGGCAAAUACUUUUGGAGAGGGUGAGUGGAGUCACUGCAGUGUAAUCAGAAAAAGUCUAUCUAAAACCAGAGAAGCUGCUAUGUUAUUUCAAUCUCUUUUCUUCUAGUAGCUGUUUUUAAGCCUUUAUUUGACUUUCUAACACUAAUUGGAGUAUUGACUGACCAUAUAAAUGCUUGCCCCCAUUGUUCUACUCUCACAAAUUAACUAGUGAGUGCCUCCAGUUAUCUAAAUAAGGUGCUGACUGAUCGUGUGGAAAUAAUUAAUCAAGCCAGACCCGAUAUGAUCUCCAGCCAUGUCAGAACUUUCUUUUCUCAUUAUGCUUACCUAGUGCAGAAUUUAAAUUUACAGCCUGUGGCAAAAGGUAAUGUUUUUUGAGAGGUUUCUACAAGUCAAAUUACAAGGAGGAAGUCAAGAUUUCAUUGUAAUAAGACUUUAAAUGAGUCCAAUUACAUUUCAGUUCAAACAGACUUGUUUCAAAUAUUGUUCUGCCUGUCUGGCAGCAUUUAAUAGAAGCCAACAUAGAGUUUAGUGCACUGGGGAAUAAUGUGCCAACUUUCCUACUUGCAUCAGUGGAAGCAGGCGUCCUUAGUGGACAGGCACUUAAAUGCAUGUAAUGCAGAAACUGAAAUGCUGUUACAACUGUAUUUCUCCUUAACGACAAGUACACAUAGUAAGCAAUACAAUGCCUUUUACUGCAGCAACUCAUUUAUCAUGAACAAGCUUACUGUCCUUCACCCUUCACCCUCCCCAGGUACAAAGGCUUAAAAAAAGAAAAAGAUAUUUUUAACUGAAAAAGCAGGAGCGGCAUACGCUGUAACUUUGUUCAGCAAAGUACGUUACACUCUCAGUGAGCAUAAAACGUCCCCAGACGUCUGCUCAGCAUCUUAACAAGGAAAGCACAGCAGAAGUGAUCUUCCAAAUCAUCAAAUCCAGACUCCUACACUGACAAAUGGGCACUACUUGCUAGUCUUUUUUGACACACGGUCUCAGUGCUGGCUGAUGCUUCAGCACAGAUGUUUUUACAGAGAACUGGAGUUAUCUAGCUUCUCCUCUCAACACACUAGCAAUAAGACAAGAGGAGAAAGCUUUUAACAAAGCUGUCAUAAUCCUAUAAUAACAUAAGGAGGAUGAGUGGUAACCCAGCUACUCCUGCAGGGUAGAAGUGUGCCUGUAUUCUCCAGCAGUUAUAUCAGAAGUCUAAAGGCACAGGAUCUCAACCUAGACUAACAUAUUUGCACAUACAACAGAGAAUUUCUGCUACACUCAGAAACACACCACAGCUGAUGAAAGCAAAACAAAAAUCCAACAUUGGAUUCAUAAUUAAGAAUACUUCCUAAAUGUGCAUACUUCAGCAAGUGUGAAAAAUUCCCUUGGAUAAACUUGGUUGUGAAUCCAGGCCCUAGAGCAUUUUCUAUUUCAGAGGUGCCAGAAACAAAGGCUGUUUUAAGCUCAUAUGAAUCAACUUUAAGCUGAUUUUUGCAUUGUUAAAAUAGCACAAUUUACAGAUUUCCUCCAGCCUACAACAGAAAAUUUAUGCCUUUACUCUUUGAAUGCAGAAAGCAUGUAUUUGUAGUAAGGAGGAAAGAACUGGAUUCUGCACAUUCAGAUAUAUUCCUACGUGAAUAUAUCUGCAAAGUGUUUGACAUUAAAACACAAUUACAACAAGGAAUUGUCACACACAGCAUUUGAAAGCAAUACACUUAGUUUGCAAUAAUAUAUCUUUAAUAACCCUUUCAGAUCUUCACCAAAAGGAACAGAACACAAAUCUGCAACAUUGCCCAAGUGGGAAAAUAAAUGGUCAUCUUAUUUCACUCAUAAAUGAGCACUGUUGGCAGUGAACCAUUACAGAGAAAUUUAUUACCUUAUUUCCAGUGAUAGACCAUUAUCAAAUGCUACCAGAUGCUCAUCUCUAUUGUCAAUGUCAUAUUUGAAGACUCUAAUGAUACCAGCUAGCUUUCUACAUAACAGAAAAAUAGGAUUUCUUCACCUCAAAGCUGCCUAUGACAGUAUGCAUUUGAGUUUUGCAAGCAGGUUCAUUUCCAUUCUGAAUGCACAAUUUCCUCCAAAAAGACCACGUCUUACUGGGGGGUUUAUUACCCUGUAGCAGAUUGUCCUGGUAGCUCUCCAUAACUUAAUUCCCAAGAGGAGAUAACUAUCUGAGAUGCAAUCCCACUAGUUAGACUAGAGGUACGGAAUUUGUCAUUAAUGUAUUGUUUUAUAUUUUAAAUAAUGGUACAGAAUUUAAAUCAAGUACCUAUGUUUAAGGAAAAUCAGAAAACAAACAAAAAACCCUCAGAAGUGUAUUAAAAUAGUUAUGUACUUAUUUAAAACAAGAUUAUUCUGAACACAGUAUACUCUUAGAUACAUAUAUGACAUAGGCAAGGUUUUCAAUGCCACAAUUGCAAGUUAUGGCUUAGAUUUUAGAACAGCUAAUCAAUUUUGGCCUCUGUUUGCAGUUUGAAUGACAUUUUAAACCAAGCUUGAGUAAAGUAAAAAUGCCUAACACCCUUGAAAGUCAUGCAGUGAAUAGUUAUGCUUAUGUAAGUGGAUCAAGCCAUGAGUCAGAAUGUUGAAUGACCAUUUGGUAUCAUAAAUAAUUAAAGGAAUGCCAUGAAAUAAUUUAUUACAAAUGGAUUUUAAAAAGUGAAUCACUAAGUGCAUAUGAGUUCCUUGCUAGGAGAUCUCACUAUUUCAAUCACUGCAUUCAAAUACCAUUAUUGAGAUCCUGCUGGGAGAGCAGCAUAGGUACUUUCUGGAUGGCCUGCUUAUUUGCUUCUGUCUCUAUUCUUGCUGUGUAAGUGUUCCUCGUUCUGUAGAAAAUACAUAACUAUUCAAAAGGUGGCUAGAAAUAAUGGGCUGAAAAGGUUUGUUAAAGCUGGAUUUGAAAUUACAACUGACUCCAUGUCAGACAAAAAAAACCCCAUUUUAUCCCCAUUAGAAUAAAAUUUAAUUCACAAUUCAUUUACAGACCAAGCCUAAAUCCAGGCCUAUUAAUAGAGGCUUUGAUAAACAUUAUUCAACAUUUCUCUUGAAGUGUUGUGCUUCCAUGCAGCAGUUCCUUUUAAAAUUCACAGCACCCACUCCUGCCC
ensembl:lncRNA